UGAGUCGGUCGCAGAAUGAGCUUGGGCCCGGACGGAGCUUGCCGCCUCCAACAGUGUCUGCCUCCGCCACCCCCGACCUCAAUCGAUGCAGCUGCCGCCUCUAAACUGCAGCCUCACGCCUCAUCAUCAACACCGGUUUCAAUGCAGUGCCCAAUGGGAGUUUAUAGCUUCAAUGACAACUUACAAAUACUAAAAACAGUUGACUCAGUUGGAUAACUGAUGAACCGGAAGGACAUCGAGGAAUGACAAUGGGUUGAAGUUCUUGGAGCCUUCCCAUAUUCCAGUGGGAUGAUCACAGGAAUAACUUGAGAAUGUUCAAACUCAUCAAACUGGAAGUGAGUUGUUUAUUCAUAAGCUGAAAGAUUCGUUAUCUGAAUGAGAAUGGGAAUUGGAAUGUCAAUCAUAAGGAUCUUGGCUGAUUAUUCAGUAAUAAUAGAAUAUUUUUCAUGAUUAUUUUAAGAUCGACUUUCCCAAAAGAAGAGCCUGAAACUGAGCAGCUGGAUAUCUAAAUACAGCAACUUUAAUUUGAAAGAGCUCGGCCAUAGUUGUGGUUGAGAUUCCACAGAAUAAACUUGCUCUACAUCUUGCAAAGACGUCAACCCAACAGUCAACUUCAAGUCAACCAUCUCAUUCAAGAAAACUCAUAGAAGCCAUCUGGAGAGCCACAAUAUCCACUUUAUUAGGAUAGUGUUUCACAUAAAUAACCAUCAUGGAUAUGAAAAGUGAUAGGUAAAAUAAAAAUAGUAAUCAAAUGAA